rnacentral:rRNA from 1 species
UACGUAGGCAGCGAGCGUUGUUCGGAGUUACUGGGCGUAAAGGGUGUGUAGGCGGUUCUCUAAGUUUGGUGUGAAAUCUCCCGGCUCAACCGGGAGGGUGCGCCGAAAACUGGGGGACUCGAGUGCGGGAUGGGAGAGUAGAAUUCCUGGUGUGGCGGUGAAAUGCGUAGAUAUCAGGAGGAAUACCGGUGGUGUAGACGGCUCUCUGGACCGCCACUGACGCUGAGACACGAAAGCGUGGGUAGCAAACAGG